UACGUAGGGUGCAAGCGUUAAUCGGAAUUACUGGGCGUAAAGCGUGCGCAGGCGGUGAUGUAAGACAGAUGUGAAAUCCCCGGGCUCAACCUGGGAACUGCAUUUGUGACUGCAUCACUGGAGUGCGGCAGAGGGGGAUGGAAUUCCGCGUGUAGCAGUGAAAUGCGUAGAUAUGCGGAGGAACACCGAUGGCGAAGGCAAUCCCCUGGGCCUGCACUGACGCUCAUGCACGAAAGCGUGGGGAGCAAACAGG
rnacentral:rRNA from 1 species